rnacentral:lncRNA from 1 species
CCCACCUUGUCCUAGCACUUCAGACAGGGAAUAUCCCAAGACGCACCAAACAUGCUGCUAGGACAGGUGAUGGAACAAUCCCAUCUCAACACUCAAGAUGAUGCACUGUCCUAAAGUGGAGCGUGAUAUUUGGGGUUAAGGCCCGCCUGAUGCAUCCACUUAUUGAGUUAAAAGCAAAGUAAAUGAUCUGGAUAACAUUCAACAAAGGG